UAGGGAAUCUUCGGCAAUGGACGAAAGUCUGACCGAGCAACGCCGCGUGAGUGAAGAAGGUUUUCGGAUCGUAAAACUCUGUUGUUAGAGAAGAACAAGGACGUUAGUAACUGAACGUCCCCUGACGGUAUCUAACCAGAAAGCCACGGCUAACUACGUGCCAGCAGCCGCGGUAAUACGUAGGUGGCAAGCGUUGUCCGGAUUUAUUGGGCGUAAAGCGAGCGCAGGCGGUUUCUUAAGUCUGAUGUGAAAGCCCCCGGCUCAACCGGGGAGGGUAAUUGGAAACUGGGAGACUUGAGUGCAGAAGAGGAGAGUGGAAUUCCAUGUGUAGCGGUGAAAUGCGUAGAUAUAAGGAGGAACACCAGUGGCGAAGGCGGCUCUCUGGUCUGUAACUGACGCUGAGGCUCGAAAGCGUGGGGAGCAAACAGG
rnacentral:rRNA from 1 species